UAGAGCACGACAUUGCUCACAUUGCUUCCAGUAUUUUUAUUAGCCGGCUAGGGUGCCGGCUACUUUUU
rnacentral:antisense_RNA from 1 species